GAUGAAGAACGUAGCGAAAUGCGAUAAGUAAUGUGAAUUGCAGAAUUCAGUGAAUCAUCGAAUCUUUGAACGCACAUUGCGCCCGCCAGCAUUCUGGCGGGCAUGCCUGUUCGAGCGUCAUUUCAACCAUCAAGCCCCGGGCUUGUGUUGGGGACCUGCGGCUGCCGCAGGCCCUGAAAAGCAGUGGCGGGCUCGCUGUCACACCGAGCGUAGUAGCAUACAUCUCGCUCUGGGCGUGCUGCGGGUUCCGGCCGUUAAACCACCUUUUAACCCAAGGUUGACCUCGGAUCAGGUAGGAAGACCCGCUGAACUUAAGCAUAUCAAUAAGCGGAGGA
rnacentral:misc_RNA from 1 species